rfam:Gorilla gorilla gorilla genomic chromosome, chr5, whole genome shotgun sequence
GCCGGGCGUGGUGGCGGGCGCCUGUAGUCCCAGCUGCUCGGGAGGCUGAGGCAGGAGAAUUGCUUGAACCCAGGAGGCAGAGCUUGCAGUGAGCCAAGAUCGCGCCACUGCACUCCAGCCUGGGUGACAGAGCGAGACUCUGUCUCAA